rnacentral:rRNA from 1 species
CGGGUGAGUAACACGUAGGUGAUCUACCUUUGGAUUGGGGAUAGCCUGUGGAAACACAGGAUAAUACCGAAUACGAGCUUUGGACUGUGGUCCGAAGCGGAAAGGCCCUUAGGGGUCGUCCGAAGAUGAGCCUGCGGUCCAUUAGCUAGUUGGUGUGGUAAUGGCGCACCAAGGCAACGAUGGAUAGCCGGCCUGAGAGGGUGAUCGGCCACACUGGGACUGAGACACGGCCCAG